rnacentral:rRNA from 1 species
GGAAGGGGUGUAUUUAUUAGAUAAAAAACCAAUGCCCUUCGGGGCUCCUUGGUGAAUCAUAAUAACUUAACGAAUCGCAUGGCCUUGCGCCGGCGAUGGUUCAUUCAAAUUUCUGCCCUAUCAACUUUCGAUGGUAGGAUAGUGGCCUACCAUGGUGGCAACGGGUAACGGGGAAUUAGGGUUCGAUUCCGGAGAGGGAGCCUGAGAAACGGCUACCACAUCCAAGGAAGGCAGCAGGCGCGCAAAUUACCCAAUCCCGACACGGGGAGGUAGUGACAAUAAAUACUGAUACGGGGCUCUUUUGGGUCUCGUAAUUGGAAUGAGUACAAUCUAAAUCCCUUAACGAGGAACAAUUGGAGGGCAAGUCUGGUGCCAGCAGCCGCGGUAAUUCAAGCUCCAAUAGCGUAUAUUAAAGUUGUUGCAGUUAAAAAGCUCGUAGUUGAACCUUGGGUCUGGCUGGCCGGUCCGCCUCACCGCGAGUACUGGUCCGGCUGGACCUUUCCUUCUGGGGAAUCUCAUGGCCUUCACUGGCUGUGGGGGGAACCAGGACUUUUAC